AUGAUUCAAUCUUUUCUCCUACAAUUUCUAAAAAAUAAAAAUAUUUAAAUGAAAUAAGAGAAAUAAUGUCAAGUAAAUAAAUAAAUAAUUUUAAAUUAAAGUUAAAAGUAGAAAACAUA
rnacentral:tRNA from 1 species